GAUGAACGCUAGCGGGAGGCUUAACACAUGCAAGUCGAGGGGCAGCAUAGGGUAGCAAUACUCUGAUGGCGACCGGCAAACGGGUGAGUAACGCGUAUGCAACCUACCCUGUACAGGGGGAUAACCCGGAGAAAUUCGGACUAAUAUCCCGUAAUAAUAUCCGGAGGCAUCUUUGGAUAUUUAAAGUUCCGACGGUACGGGAUGGGCAUGCGUAACAUUAACUGGUUGGUAAGGUAACGGCUUACCAAGGCUAUGAUGUUUAGGGGUCCUGAGAGGGUGGUCCCCCACACUGGUACUGAGACACGGACCAGACUCCUACGGGAGCAGCAGUGAGGAAUAUUGGUCAAUGGGCGCAAGCCUGAACCAGCCAUCCCGCGUGCAGGAAGACGGCCCUAUGGGUUGUAAACUGCUUUUCCAGGGAGAGAAACUUACGCACGUGUUGCGUGACUGACGGUACCCUGGGAAUAAGCAUCGGCUAACUCCGUG
rnacentral:rRNA from 1 species